ACACGCAUGACACACUGCAUAUCAAUAAGCGGAGGAAAAGAAACUAACAAGGAUUCCCCUAGUAACGGCGAGUGAAGCGGGAAGAGCUCAAAUUUGAAAUCUUAAAGGGUUUCCCUUUACGAAUUGUAGUUUAAAGAAGUGUUUUCUGUUGGAGUUUCGGUAAAAGUUCUUUGGAAUAGGACAUCAUAGAGGGUGAGAAUCCCGUAUUUGACCGUUACUUUCCAGCUGUGUGAUACACUUUCAAAGAGUCGGAUUGUUUGGGAAUGCAGUCCAAAAUGGGUGGUAAAUUUCAUCUAAAGCUAAAUAUUGGCGAGAGACCGAUAGCGAACAAGUACCGUGAGGGAAAGAUGAAAAGAACUUUGAAAAGAGAGUUAAACAGUACGUGAAAUUGUCAAAAGGGAAGCGUUUGACACCAGUGUUGUUUAGUUGAAAAUCAAUUCAAUAAUUUUUGAUUUUAAGUAGUAUUGACUUCAUCAGCUUGCUGCUUUCUUUUCGAAAAUUAUUGAAUGCACUUUUCAGUUAACAAGUCAACAUCAAUUUCUUUUGUUGUAAAAGGGUAAGAGGAAGGUGGCUUACGCUUCGGCGUAAGUGUUUAUAGCCUUUUACCUCUGCAAUCGGAGAGAUUGAGGUCAGCAGCGUAGACUCCUUCGGGGGUUAGAUACACUUGUGCUAAGCUAUAGCCUUGUAUAGACAACUUGUUGACUAUGCUCAGUCAUGUAGCUUACUCGCAUGUGCUAUUUUACCUACGCUUAGGAUGUUGAACUACUGAGACAUAGA
rnacentral:rRNA from 1 species